UGGGGAAUAUUGGACAAUGGGCGGAAGCCUGAUCCAGCAACGCCGCGUGAGGGAUGACGGCCUUCGGGUUGUAAACCUCUUUCAGUACCGACGAAGCGAAAGUGACGGUAGGUACAGAAGAAGGACCGGCCAACUACGUGCCAGCAGCCGCGGUAAUACGUAGGGUCCGAGCGUUGUCCGGAAUUGAUUGGGCGUAAAGGGCUCGUAGGCGGUUUGUCGCGUCGGGAGUGAAAACAGCGGGCUUAACUCGUUGCUUGCUUUCGAUACGGGCAGACUAGAGGUAUGCAGGGGAGAAUGGAAUUUCCUGGUGUAGCGGUGAAACGCGCAGAUAUCAGGAGGAACACCGGUGGCGAAGGCGGUUCUCUGGGCAUUACCUGACGCUGAGGAGCGAAAAGUGUGGGGAGCGAACAAGGAUUAGAUACCCUGGUAGUCCACACCGUAAACGUUGGGCGCUAGGUGUGGGGUCCUUUCCACGGAUUCCGUGCCGU
rnacentral:rRNA from 1 species